UACAGAGGUCUCAAGCGUUGUUCGGAUUCAUUGGGUUUAAAGGGUGCGUAGGCGGCUUAUUAAGUCAGGGGUGAAAGACGGUGGCUCAACCAUCGCAGUGCCCUUGAUACUGAUGAGCUUGAAUACACUUGAGGUAGGCGGAAUGUGACAAGUAGCGGUGAAAUGCAUAGAUAUGUCACAGAACACCAAUUGCGAAGGCAGCUUACUAAGGUGCAAUUGACGCUGAGGCACGAAAGCGUGGGGAUCAAACAGG
rnacentral:rRNA from 1 species